rnacentral:tRNA from 1 species
GGCGGCAUGGCCAAGCGGACUAAGGCGAAGGAUUGCAAAUCCUUUAUUCCCCGGUUCGAAUCCGGGUGCCGCCU